rnacentral:snoRNA from 1 species
GGAGGCUUAUGAUGUUUACAGAACUGCCUACAUUGUCUGACUGUCUUUUGAGCAAGAAAAGAAUUUGUUCUGAAGACUCU